UUUUCAUUUCUUUACUUUUCUUAAAAAUUAUAAGUAAAAAAAACUGGUUUGAAGUCUUAAUCAGGUGGUUGCCAGAGUUGGUAAACUGGACUGGGUUCCACCGCGAUCUGGAUCAUUAAUAUUCACCCAUUAUGUGACAAUUGAACCCGAGUCCUGGCUCUAUAUGCCGUCACACGUUUCGUGCAACUAUGACCUAUAACGUUUACACCCAUACUCAGAGAUUGAUGUUGUCUAUGCCUGUUAACUGCCAGAUUGGUUUAGCUUUGAAAAAGCUCUUUGCAGAUGGUGUUAUAAAGCGGGAAGAACUAUUCAUCACCUCCAAACUCUGGUGCACUGAGCACGAUCCAGAAGAUGUGCCGGUGGCAUUGGAUACAACAUUGAAAUGCCUACAACUCGACUAUAUUGAUCUUUACCUUGUAUGCUCCUCUCUCUUGUCAACAUGUAGAUGAAUCUAAUGCUUGGAAUUUUGCCAUGCCGAUUUCUUUUUGAUAUAAAAACUUAGACCUAAGGCCCCCAACGUGCCCCUAAAAGUGAAAAGGGAAAUAUUUACCAUGGUUGAGAGAGGCAUAUGUGAAAACUAACAUGACUGACCCCUCAGAAAAAAAGAUUUUGUAUCCCGUCAAAACAAUGUCCAACCAAAUGUAUGCUAUAAUCCACCUUAUCGAGGAUAUCAAUCUAAUCCA